AUAGUACUCCCUCGGUCCGAAAAAACUUGUCCCUCAAAUGGAUGUAUCUAGCACCAAGUUAGUGCUAGAUACAUCCAUUUGAGAGAUAAGGUUCGUACAAGCUUUUCCGGACGGAAGGAGUAGAGC
rfam:Triticum aestivum genome assembly, contig: Triticum_aestivum_CS42_TGACv1_scaffold_485730_6AS